CGUUUGAAAACAUCUUCGCUCUGCACGACAGCAGCAAGAAGUCCACAUCAAGAGCUUGCUAAAGCCAAAACCAAUUCCAGUAGGGCAAAGCACAUGACCAGAGUAAAAGUGGAGAACUUCAAAAUAAAGAAAGAGAAUAUAAGUCCAACAACUCCUCCACUGGAUAGCAGAGAAUCCAGAAACCCUGCCCUGAGCACAAGCCAUUGCCCAAAGAGCAUCCACCUCCAGGGAUGGCAGCUGCAGCAAUUCCACACUCUUCAGGCAUGUUGGGACAGCCAGACAAGGAGCAGGGAACUCCCUGCCUGCUCUGCAUGUCUCAGCCACCUCCUGCAUGGGAUCAACCUCAUGGCACAUGGCCAAACAUCCUGAUCUUGUGCUUUCAGCAUUUUAUCAAUCUGCCAAGGAUUCUCCAUUCACUCCCCGCAUUCACGAGUCAACUGCCAGGUCUAAGAGAGACAAUAAAGCUCUUCUACAUUCAGGGAAGAAAAAUUGGUAUUUUUCUAUAUUAUAGGUGAGAUUUUACUCCUUGGGGUGUGGGGUUCCAGGUCUUUAAUGCUUGGAUGCUAUUUACACCUUUUCUAACAAAUACAGACUGGAAUUGUUGAAAUGAAGCAUUUGAACAGCACAGAAUCAUUUAGGCUGGAAAAAAACCUUUAAGAUCAAGUCCAACCCUUAACCCAGCACUGCCAAGUCCAUCACAAAACCAUGUCCCUAAGUGCCACAUAUACAUGUCUUUU